rnacentral:rRNA from 1 species
CACGUAGGGUCCGAGCGUUGUCCGGAAUUACUGGGCGUAAAGCGCGCGCAGGCGGUCCAUUCAGUCGCUGGUGAAAGCCCCACGCUCAACGUGGGAAGGUCCGGCGAGACGGGUGGACUGGAGGCAGGGAGAGGUCGGUGGAAUUCCGGGUGUAGUGGUGAAAUGCGUAGAGAUCCGGAGGAACACCAGAGGCGAAGGCGGCCGACUGGACCUGACCUGACGCUGAGGCGCGAAGGCGUGGGGAGCGAACGGGAUUAGAUACCCCGGUAGUCCACGCGGUAAACGAUGUGCACUGGGUAUGGCGGGAGUUGACCCCUGCCGUGCCGGCGCUAACGCAGUAAGUGCACCGCCUGGGGAGUACGGCCGCAAGGCUAAA